UACGGGGGGGGCAAGCGUUGUUCGGAAUUACUGGGCGUAAAGGGCUCGUAGGUGGCCAACUAAGUCACACGUGAAAUCCCUCGGCUUAACCGGGGAACUGCGUGUGAUACUGGAUGGCUUGAGUUUGGGAGAGGGAUGCGGAAUUCCAGGUGUAGCGGUGAAAUGCGUAGAUAUCAGGAGGAACACCGGUGGCGAAGGCGGGUCUCUGGGCCGAUACUGACGCUGAGGAGCGAAAGCGUGGGGAGCGAACAGG
rnacentral:rRNA from 1 species